AUGAUCGACGGCGAGCCCUGGGAUUGGGGACUGCACACAGCGCGUCUCCGGGAGCAGAUUCUUCGCGCCCAGCAUCGCUUCAAGAAGCAGGCUGAUCAACAUCGCUCCGAGCGCUCCUUCGAGGUGGGCGACACCGUGCUCCUCAAACUCCAGCCAUACGCGCAGUCGUCGGUGGCGAACUGACCCUGCGCCAAACUAGCUUACAAGUACUUCGGGCCAUUUGCGGUGCUCGACAAGAUCGGCAAGCUUGCGUACAAACUGGAGCUGCCGGCGGACAUCAAGAUUCACCCCGUCUUUCACGUCUCCCAGCUCAAGCCAUUCACCCCCAACUAUACUCCAGUCUUCUCCGAGCUGCCAAGUCCACCCGACCUUGCCGGCCGCAACGACGAACAAGUGGAAAUAUUGGAGCGCCGCAUGGUCAAGCGCGGUGUCAGCGCUCUGGUGCAAGUCAAGGUGCGUUGGCGCAACGACACGGAGGCGAUCACUUGGGAGGACUACGACACUCUUCGUCAACGUUUUCCUCACGCACCGGCUUGGGAGGAGCCAACAGCAGGCGAUGAAGAUCAGCAAGGCGUUCCUGAAGAUGGCGCUCGCUCUGAAGGAGAGGGGAAUGUCACACCGGCAUCACCAGGAGCUGAUGCGGUGGACGUGUGA
rnacentral:rRNA from 1 species